UGCAGUCGAGCGAACAGAUGAGAAGCUUGCUUCUCUGAUGUUAGCGGCGGACGGGUGAGUAACACGUGGGUAACCUACCUAUAAGACUGGGAUAACUCCGGGAAACCGGGGCUAAUACCGGAUAAUAUUUUGAACCGCAUGGUUCAAUAGUGAAAGACGGUUUCGGCUGUCACUUAUAGAUGGACCCGCGCCGUAUUAGCUAGUUGGUAAGGUAACGGCUUACCAAGGCGACGAUACGUAGCCGACCUGAGAGGGUGAUCGGCCACACUGGAACUGAGACACGGUCCAGACUCCUACGGGAGGCAGCAGUAGGGAAUCUUCCGCAAUGGGCGAAAGCCUGACGGAGCAACGCCGCGUGAGUGAUGAAGGUCUUCGGAUCGUAAAACUCUGUUGUUAGGGAAGAACAAAUUUGUUAGUAACUGAACAAGUCUUGACGGUACCUAACCAGAAAGCCACGGCUAACUACGUGCCAGCAGCCGCGGUAAUACGUAGGUGGCAAGCGUUAUCCGGAAUUAUUGGGCGUAAAGCGCGCGUAGGCGGUUUCUUAAGUCUGAUGUGAAAGCCCACGGCUCAACCGUGGAGGGUCAUUGGAAACUGGGAAACUUGAGUGCAGAAGAGGAGAGUGGAAUUCCAUGUGUAGCGGUGAAAUGCGCAGAGAUAUGGAGGAACACCAGUGGCGAAGGCGGCUCUCUGGUCUGUAACUGACGCUGAUGUGCGAAAGCGUGGGGAUCAAACAGGAUUAGAUACCCUGGUAGUCCACGCCGUAAACGAUGAGUGCUAAGUGUUAGGGGGUUUCCGCCCCUUAGUGCUGCAGCUAACGCAUUAAGCACUCCGCCUGGGGAGUACGACCGCAAGGUUGAAACUCAAAGGAAUUGACGGGGACCCGCACAAGCGGUGGAGCAUGUGGUUUAAUUCGAAGCAACGCGAAGAACCUUACCAAAUCUUGACAUCCUUUGACCGCUCUAGAGAUAGAGUCUUCCCCUUCGGGGGACAAAGUGACAGGUGGUGCAUGGUUGUCGUCAGCUCGUGUCGUGAGAUGUUGGGUUAAGUCCCGCAACGAGCGCAACCCUUAAGCUUAGUUGCCAUCAUUAAGUUGGGCACUCUAGGUUGACUGCCGGUGACAAACCGGAGGAAGGUGGGGAUGACGUCAAAUCAUCAUGCCCCUUAUGAUUUGGGCUACACACGUGCUACAAUGGAUAAUACAAAGGGCAGCGAAUCCGCGAGGCCAAGCAAAUCCCAUAAAAUUAUUCUCAGUUCGGAUUGUAGUCUGCAACUCGACUACAUGAAGCUGGAAUCGCUAGUAAUCGUAGAUCAGCAUGCUACGGUGAAUACGUUCCCGGGUCUUGUACACACCGCCCGUCACACCACGAGAGUUUGUAACACCCGAAGCCGGUGGAGUAACCUUUUAGGAGCUAGCCGUCGAAG
rnacentral:rRNA from 2 species